UGGCGGACGGGUGAGUAACACGUACGUGACCUGACGCGAAGCGGGGGAGUACCCGGUCCGAAAGGGGCGGCUAAUACCGCAUGUGGUCAUCGGGGAUGCCCGGUGAGUAAAGGGCUUUCGGGCUCACUUCGUGAGGGGCGUGCGGCCGAUUAGCUAGUUGGUGGGGUAACGGCCUACCAAGGCGACGAUCGGUAGCUGGGCUGAGAGGCCGGACAGCCACACUGGGACUGAGACACGGCCCAG
rnacentral:rRNA from 1 species